UGGUGGCGAUAGCGAAGAGGUCACACCCGUUCCCAUACCGAACACGGAAGUUAAGCUCUUUAGCGCCAAUGGUAGUUGGGACUUUGUCCCUGUGAGAGUAGGACGUUGCCAGGCA
rnacentral:rRNA from 5 species